rnacentral:misc_RNA from 1 species
AUAAGUGAUUUGAAUAUUCUGUUCUGUACAUAUUUAUUUAUUUUCAUGUUUGCUUAACCACGUGGCAUGAGAAUAUUAGGGGUCUAUGGAUAUGAAAGUGCUUUUAACAGAUCUGUAUAUUUUUGUGUGUACGUGUGAGUGGUAAAUGCAACUUUGAAGUGGAGGAUGUAUUUGGUUCAGUUAGAUUAGGAUUGAUUCAGCAUUUGCCUGCCUAUUUGUUCUUGUUGGCACAGUGAUAUUUCUGUCUCCAGCACUGUGGAACUCCCAACUUUUCUUUGUGUACUAUCAGGCUGCUUUUGGUGAGCAGUGGUAUAUCCUCCUUCCUGAACUUUGCCUAGGGAAAUUUUAGUUUUGUUUUUAUUAUAGUUCUGCUGGUGUAUAUAUAUAUAUCAUUUCAAACACAGUAGUGUGCCUUGUGGCAAUGGUUCAUCAGGCCAGAUUUUUGCUCUUUAACAAGCAUGUUG